rnacentral:rRNA from 1 species
UGGGGAAUAUUGCACAAUGGGCGAAAGCCUGAUGCAGCGACGCCGCGUGAGUGAUGAAGGCCUUCGGGCUGUAAAGCUCUGUCUUUUGGGACGAUAAUGACGGUACCAAAGGAGGAAGCCACGGCUAACUACGUGCCAGCAGCCGCGGUAAUACGUAGGUGGCAAGCGUUGUCCGGAUUUACUGGGCGUAAAGGAUGCGUAGGCGGAUUUUUAAGUGAGAUGUGAAAUACCCGGGCUUAACUUGGGUGCUGCAUUUCAAACUGGGAAUCUAGAGUGCGGGAGAGGAGAAUGGAAUUCCUAGUGUAGCGGUGAAAUGCGUAGAGAUUAGGAAGAACACCAGUGGCGAAGGCGAUUCUCUGGACCGUAACUGACGCUGAGGCAUGAAAGCGUGGGUAGCAAACAGGAUUAGAUACCCUGGUAGUCCACGCCGUAAACGAUGAGUACUAGGUGUAGGAGGUAUCGACCCCUUCUGUGCCGCAGUUAACACAAUAAGUACUCCGCCUGGGAAGUACGAUCGCAAGAUUAAAACUUAAAUGAAUUGACGGGGUCAUAGC